CCGGAGGAUCUGGUUCGAUCGCGACGGGCUCCUUACCCUGCGCCACCCGCUGCUCCCCGCCCUCUGCGGCGUCCUCGCCACCGACGCCGUCGUCGGCUUCGCCAUCGACGGCUGCGGCAGUGGCGACCUCAACUCCCUCCGACACGAGAAGAUGUUCUCCGACUCCGUCAUACGGUACACGCUCAACCAACGCCCUUACGCUACGCACUGCCAUAGGACAAAUUGGCAAGAUUUGAUCUGUAGAAGAUCUGGAAAAUCUUCCUGGUGAAUUUGUCAAUUACAUGUGCCUCGUUGCUGUUUGAUUCUACAAACUGCGUGACUCAAAAGUAUGGUUUUCUUUGUAAAUCAUGCAGUUUAUACCAAAAUAAUGUGCUACUCUCUUUUGACCAGAUCUAUCUACCCAACUUAUUUGCUACGAUUUGGAGGCCUGAAUUUAACUAUGUGUGUUUCAUCUACAGAGCUGACGUAAUGAUUUGGGUUGGCAAAUAUGGAUGCCUACUUCUUUUCAAAGUGAUGAAGGAGGAAUGCUAUUACCAGAUGAAUCUUGAGAUUCCAAUGUAGUAGCAAUUGUUACAAGCUGGCUGUGAGGAUGCUUUGGGUUGGCAAAUACAAAUGGUUUGCUCAAAGAGGAUGGAGAGGAGUGCCAGGAUAUAUAUAUGCAUGCACAUGUAUCAGACAAGUCUUCAGUUUUUUCGUAAGUAAACAAAUGAAGUAUAUGUUAUUCUGCUAUAGCAGCUAGAUGAAUAAGUAACGGUUUAUAUCACCAGUAGCACAAGGAGCGCAUUUUCAGCGUUGAAGAAUUGAUUGUGUACUGAACUAUUGAUGAUAUGGAUAUUUAUCUUAUGUAGCAUUCCUAAUUAGCUACGGAGGUAUUAGUAAUGCCUAAGAAGUUUGAUGGAUAUUUAUCUUAUGUACGCAAUCCAUGCUUUAUUGUAACACAUGGAUAUCUCACUUGGUAUCUUGUGCUAGUGCUGCUCCCUGUGAUAGAGUAGAAUGAUACUUCGUGGCAUACAUUCUCUGUCUCUAUACAAGAACGAUCCACAUUUGGCUGAUUGGUGCUUAACCAGAUUGAAUGUAUCACCAAAUAAUCGUGUAAUGAGUAGGUUUGCUAGGAGAAGUACCGUUACCAUUUUAUGGAGUCCCUCGGUUCAUAGGCUGAGCAGCUCUGUUCCAAUGUGUGCUUCCUUUUAUGCUGAAGUGUAUGUUUCCCCUUGCACGAACAGUAAGACCACGUAGAAGCGCAGACGGAUCUGUUUUAGCAAAAGACACCGUCAAGUCAGUCCUCAAGUAGUCUUUUAUGGCUACAUAACUUUUACUCCAUGUCUUGGUUCAUAUGCUACAAAAAACUGCGGCUCUGCGUUUAAUUUAUUUCUUAUACAUCUCUAUAAAUUAGUAAUAGCAGUUUGGAUUGCUCUGUCUUCACAGUGCUCGAAUGGAUUAGAUUUACAACUCGAUGGUGAACCAUAGUUGCCAUGUUUCCGGUCUAGUUGACAUGUUUACAACUCAAUGGUGAACCAUAGUUGACAUGUUCAGUAUGUCAUCUGCAUUUCGAUCUGAAUAUGUUGGCAAGAGUGUCUAAAUUAAUUUAGUAUAUAUGCACGUUUCAUCUUAGUCUCUCAGUAUGGUUGGAUGUGUGCUUCAGGGGCUAUCUAUGCUCGUUAUUGGCUCUGAAGUUUUAUGUCUAUCCAGUGUGUAAGGAGCUCUAAUUUCUCUUUCUAGCGCCUAAAUUAUGCCAUGUGUACCAGGGGGGAGCUAGAUGUAUGAUGUACGGCAACGGGAAUGGGAGCUGGUGAGGAAAGGAACCUGCUGGGACAACCAAAUCGAGUCCCUUCUCUACAUGUUGGUUUUGCUCCCUUGCACAACAGUAAAUGCCUCUGCAAACAUGACACUAUAUAUAUGCAUGUCAUGGUCAGCAGUUAGCGUGUGGCAAUGAAGUGAACCAUCAGAUUACAUUUUGCCUUGUCUUGUUGAUAAUGCCAUAUGUCUUGCAAUCAGAUUUCAUUUCUAUUUGUUAUGGUAAUAUAAAAAAUAUUCAUGCUGUCAAAAUUUUCAUAGUGUUAUAGAACAUCUAGUAACAAGAAUAUGAAAUUGUAAAUAGCAAAAAAUUCUUGUCUUGCGCGGUCUAAGUCUAAGGAAAUAAAAAUAAUCACUUAUACAAUUUCAUCUACAUUGAAUUUGUAUAUCAGAAUACCUUUCAUUUCUUUAGUUUGAUUGUUUCCCUUGUAUUCAAUAUGCUUCUAAUGGCUGAUCCUUCCAUUUUUGAUGUGGCAUCUUUUUUUUCACAGGUGUUGUGUGUUCUGGAAGAUGGAAGAGGAAGAAAAUUAAUUUUUGUUGAACUAAAUUUUUUGUAUUCUAUUUUGUUGUAUGUAUGAUUUGAUAGUUUUGUAUAGGAACAUGUGAUACUAUUUUGUAGGGCUUUAUGGCCUGUGAUGUAAACAUAUUUAGUGAUGAAUUAUGAAAUUAUUUGCAAAAUUUAUUGAAAA